rnacentral:rRNA from 1 species
UACGUAGGUGACCAGCGUUGUCCGGAUUUACUGGGCGUAAAGAGCGCGCAGGCGGUCGUUCAAGUCGCGUGUGAAAGCCCCCGGCUCAACUGGGGAGGGUCACGCGAUACUGAUCGACUCGAAGGCAGGAGAGGAAAGUGGAAUUCCCGGUGUAGUAGUGAAAUGCGCAGAUAUCAGGAGGACCACCGGUGGCGAAGGCGGGUCUCUGGGCCGAUACUGACGCUGAGGAGCGAAAGCGUGGGGAGCGAACAGG